CUGGUCUGUUUUGCAUUUCCAGGUCAGAGGCCAGACUUCCCAAUGAAAGGCUGCCUUUGGUCCAGGGGACAUGCCCAGUCCCUUCACGCCCCGGGCUGUGAACUGAUCUUAUUCUCAUUUGCAUCCUCUUGGGGCAGAAUUCAGACAGGCUGUGAAUGAUGAUGAAAAUCAAUCAAGGCAACUUUCAGCAACUGAGGAGUCCAUAUACGUCCACAGAGGCCAACAUACAAGCUUCCCCUUAAUCAAAAAACAACAACAACAACAACAACAACAGAGGUUUGUAUAAAACAGAUGUAACUGUCAUUACCACCAAAAAUGAGGAAACUUCGUGAAUUGACAACAUGGCAGAAACUGGCAAUUGUCUCCUAAGACCCAUGCUCCCUUCUUCUGUAGGAAUAAAACACCUGGUUGUUAACCAGCACAGAGCCACGUGGUUAAGUUCUAGCCAACAUGAAAUGAUCAGGAGUGAUGUGUGCAACAGCCAGGCAUUGCCGAUAGAGGGAAGGGACAGGCACUCUAUUUGCCUUUUCUGGUUUCCAUGGGCUGAAAUGCAAACAUGGGUGUGAGACAGAUUGGAUGAUGUGGAAGCAGGAUGCCCUAGGAACGACAGAGCAGCAAGAUUGAAGAAACCUGGGUCGCUGAUACAGAGGAACUACCAAGCUAGCCCCAGACUGCUUUCACCUGAACUGUCAGAUGAGCGACAAGUUCCUGUCUCCUCUAAGCCACCAUAGUUUUGGGUCUGUGUUAUAGCUGCUAUAAUCCACUAGAAGGCUACCGAGAUAAUUAGAACCUGCAGAACCUUCAUUAUCAGUUUUUCUGCUUUGAAAAAACACACUUAUGAGAAUGAAACCCUGGCAGUUUGUAUUCCUAAAGGAUUUGCUAGAAUCUAACAUCUUGGGAACUGAAUGUAAAUGUCUGCUGUUCUCCGUUACAAUAGCACCUCCAAUUAGCUUCUAUAAUCCAGAAGAACUCUUAGCAAAACCAACUGUUGUUUUCCCAUUCAUAAAAAUAUUUAUGAAUAAACACAUUAUUUUAAAGUCCAAAUAUAAAAGCACCAAGAAAAGAAAGGUUGAGGAAAGAAAGGAGAAAAGGAGAAGAAAAUGAAAAUAUCAGCUGGAUUGCAUGGUAACAAUAGCACAAAAAUAUCCAUUUACUCCCUUUCCUUUUUAACCAAUUUGUUGCAAGCUGAAAUCACUAUAUUGGGAUUUAUUUGUUGAAUGCCAG
rnacentral:lncRNA from 1 species